ACAAACGCUGGCGGCGUGCUUAACACAUGCAAGUCGAACGGUGAAGCGCCUUCCUUUUUGGUGGGUGUGGAUGAGUGGCGAACGGGUGAGUAACACGUGAGUAACCUGCCCCCUUCUUCUGGAUAACCGCAUGAAAGUGUGGCUAAUACGGGAUAUUCUGGGUCUGUCGCAUGAUGGGUCUGGGAAAGAUAUUGUUUCGGUGGGGGAUGGGCUCGCGGCCUAUCAGCUUGUUGGUGGGGUGAUGGCCUACCAAGGCGGUGACGGGUAGCCGGCCUGAGAGGGUGGACGGUCACACUGGGACUGAGACACGGCCCAGACUCCUACGGGAGGCAGCAGUGGGGAAUAUUGCACAAUGGGCGCAAGCCUGAUGCAGCGACGCCGCGUGAGGGAUGGAGGCCUUCGGGUUGUGAACCUCUUUCGCCAGUGAAGCAGGCCUGCCUCGUUUGUGGGUGGGUUGACGGUAGCUGGAUAAGAAGCGCCGGCUAACUACGUG
rnacentral:rRNA from 1 species